AAAAGAAAAAAAUAAAAUGAACUGAAAUUACAGAUUGAAUACUCUCAUUUUCGUGUUUGUUAAUUUAUUUAUAAUUUAUAAGUUUCAUCUACAGCAGUUUAACAGCGGGUGGUGUUGUGCCGUUUCUGCUCGCAACGGGGAGCCGGUGUUCUGCGGGGAUCAGAUAUCGGCAGUGCUGCAGCACCUAGUAGUCUGCAGAAUUACUUAUAUUUACAGCGCUCGAAUUAGCCGAAAUAACGACAGAAAACCCUGAGGAACCUCAGGUUUGGCACGUCACGUGGUUAAUAUACCCUCACUAUUUUACAAUACCGUCACCAUAUUUAAAUACCGUGGUAUACCGAAAUACCGUCAUACCGCCCAACCCUAUUAGAGUUAAAGUGUAAAGUGGAUCUUAAAUAGUUUAGUCCCAACACUUCCCUGGUUGAGUAGAGUUACAACGUUUACAGACGAGAAACAGAUUUACUCCAUUUUUCACAUUAUAUCUUCUUUUCUCCUGCUUUACUCCAGUCUUCUCCGGAUUACUGCAGGAGGAGACCGUUUUUAGAAGGCACUGCAGAGGGCUAGUGUUUGGUUCUGUGGUUCUGAAAAGAUUUUGAGGGUUUCUACUACACAAGACACUACUCUUUCUGCAACAGUCCCACUGCUUUGGACAGAACUGAAUGCUGUCCUGUUCCAGGUCUCCAGACCCUAGUGUCGACUUUCCAAACUGUUUAAAAUUUAGUUACAGAAAAACACUCAACCAGAACAUUUUACAAAGAAGUUAAACUACUUGAAGAGGGGAAGUACGUGAAAUCCACAGAAAUCUCCAAUACUCAGCAAACAUUCUCUCCUACCCCUCCUAA